rnacentral:rRNA from 1 species
UACGAAGGGGGCUAGCGUUGCUCGGAAUCACUGGGCGUAAAGCGCACGUAGGCGGAUCUUUAAGUCAGGGGUGAAAUCCUGGAGCUCAACUCCAGAACUGCCUUUGAUACUGGGGAUCUCGAGUCCGGAAGAGGUGAGGUGGAACUCCGAGUGUAGAGGUGAAAUUCGUAGAUAUUCGGAAGAACACCAGUGGCGAAGGCGG